rnacentral:rRNA from 1 species
GAGUACGGCCGCAAGGCUGAAACUUAAAGGAAUUGGCGGGGGAGCACUACAACGGGUGGAGCCUGCGGUUUAAUUGGACUCAACGCCGGAAAACUCACCGGGGGCGACAGCAAUAUGUAGGUCAGGUUAAAGGUCUUACCUGAAUCGCUGAGAGGAGGUGCAUGGCCGUCGUCAGUUCGUACUGUGAAGCAUCCUGUUAAGUCAGGCAACGAGCAAGACCCGUGCCCACUGUUACCAGCAUAUCCUUUAUGGAUGAUGGGGACUCUGUGGGGACCGCUGCUGCUAAAACAGAGGAAGGUGCGGGCUACGGUAGGUCAGUAUGCCCCGAAUCUCCCGGGCUACACGCGGGCUACAAUGGUUGGGACAAUGGGUAUCUACUCCGAAAGGAGUUGGCAAUCUCUUAAACCCAAUCGUAGUUCGAAUUGAGGGCUGUAACUCGCCCUCAUGAAGCUGGAAUCCGUAGUAAUCGCGUUUCAACAUAGCGCGGUGAAUCUGUCCCUGCUCCUUGCACACACCGCCCGUCAAACCAUCCGAGUGAGGUAUGGGUGAGGGCACGAACUUAGUGUCGUGCUCGAACCUAAAUUUCGCAAGGAGGGUUAAGUCGUAACAAGGUAGCCGUAGGGGAAUCUGCGGCUGGAUCACCUCCU